rnacentral:lncRNA from 1 species
GGGGAACAGCUGGAGGUUGCAAACAUGGUCGAGAAAGAACUCGCAGCUGAGACCCAUCUCAGGAUUCUGGAGGCAAGAGAAGUUGAGUACUUGUGGAGAAUCUCCUCGAGGGAGGACUCUCGCUAAUUCCAAGUCAGGAAGAGAAGAACAACCCCAGCAUUCUGGGCAUGAACAGAGAGCCAAGGUGAUCACAAUUUACAAUGCCCCUUUAUAAAAAGGAGUUAUUGGAAGAAGGUGAGAUCAUUUCGUGGAAAAUACAAGCCGGGGGUCCGUAGAAUGGAAAUUUGACAAGGUUGGGAAUCUGUGAUCACGAUGAACGAGAUGGAGCUUGUGGUUGGAUCGGAAGGUUUUCUGGCCUCAGGAACUUUGGCCAAGGCAGUUUCCUGGGUUGGUAAUUGCCAGGUGAGUGAGCCCUCUGCCCCACAGCCGGUUCUAUGGGGCAGAACAGAGAUGGGCUAUGUACAUGGACAAAACUGCCUCCGCAUCUCUGGACUUAAAGAAGAAUGAAUCCUGCUCAUGUCAUUGUCACAGGAGGAAAGAUUUCCAUUAACCCAAAGGCCUGAUGGGAUUUUAGUCCCAGACCAUGAGGCCAUGCACUUUGUGUUGGCUUCCUCUAGGGAGAGGUACUGUGUCUGUUGCAUAACAAAGGUCAGACAAGGUCAUCAACAUUACAAAAAGGUAGCAUGGAGGUGACACCCUGAGUGCUGCAUCACUCCUCCAGGACAACUGUGGUGACCUAGAGGGAGGGGUCCAGGGCUCCUCAGGAGGUUCCCAUGGCAACUCAAUGCAUGACUGAGGCUGGAUGCUCUCAUUCUGCUGUAGAAAUACAUUCUGUUUUUUCCUCUUGUCUUCUCUGAACAGGUGCCUGUCUCCUCCAGGGCCACUCAACACAUCCAAUACUGUGACACAGGUAGGCUAGCCUCCUUCUCCUCUUUCCACCCUGUCUUUAGGAUCAUCUCCAGACAUCGAAGGGCAUCAUUAUCACGGAUAAGAACACAGAUGCUGGGGCUGGAGAGAUGGCGCAGAGGUUAAGAGCUGGCACUAAUCUUUCAGAGGACUGGAGUUUGGUUCCCAUCCCCAUGUUGGGCAGAUCAUGACGACCUGUGACUACAGCUUCAGAGGGCCUAGAACCUUCUUCUGGAGACCCUGCAUGCUCUGCCUUCAUGUGCUCCUUCCCCUAAGACACAGAGGCCUUCCUAACCGUCUCUGGUGACAACAGGACAGGAACAUCACAGCUGUUUAUGUGCUAUGAUUUCCUAUGUGUGCACACAGGAAUAAGACUCUCUUGCCUUGCCCACAAACCACUCUUCACUCUUGGGAUGACCUUGCUCCAGCUGGGAUCAGAAGUUCUAGAGCAUUCUGGAAGACAAAAUGGGUAGCAAGUACAGAAGAGAGCUCCCAACUUCAUCACCACCGGGAAAAUGCAAAAUGCAACCAUGAGAUGCCACCUCUCAAACAUAAGGAUGACGAAAUGCAGAAGUCAAGUGGGUGAAGCCGUGCCCUCUUACAGAACUAGAUAAAGACAUUGUGAACACCCGGCGCGGGGGCUUCGUAGAAAGCUAAAAGUAGGGUUGCCGUAUGAUCCAGCAAGCUCACUUCUGGAUAGAGCAAAGGAAGUGAAGUCACAGACAACCGCUUUAUGCUUAUAUGUUGCAGUGUUAUAAUUGGUAGCAAUUUGCCUGAGAUGUGCCAACUGAUCCAGAUGAAGAAAUCAGGCUACACACGUACAAUAGAAGGGAAUGUGCUUCAGCCUUGGAAGAGGCAGUCCUGACGUCUAUGAGUGAACAUGGAAGACAAAUGUGCCCCUCAGGGAAAGCGACACAUACAAGUUUGUCUAGAGAACUAGAAUAUUCUUUCUUGUGGAAAGAAAGGCCAUUUCCCACGAGAGCUGAUGACCAGGAUGCGAAAUGACAUCUGGUGACCGCGCAGCUGCGGAUUGUCGAAUCCAAAGCAAUAAAAGGAUCUAGAAAUGUGAGCCAGUACUCUUUAAAAUAAAAAUAAAAAUAAAACCAUUCUAUUAUAAUGAACUCACAAAUGAAACAUCACACAGCUAGGUUAAAAUAGACAGACUUGGGCCUCGUCCCCGACUCUGCCUUUUAAUGAGCUUUUCCACAGCUAGAAGGGUUUUCUGAGCCAGGGAGUGUCUCUUAGGGCUUUGCGCUUUUACAAUUAAUUACAUUUUUAUACAUGGGUAUACCACAAAAACCAGUCAAGAUAGAAAAAAUUAGCUCUCUUCGAGGACACAUGUGUCCUUUGCCUGGAUUCUGUCCCUUUGGUUGUCCUUUGUACAUGUUAUAUGUAC